rnacentral:lncRNA from 1 species
AGAAGGUAUUCAAGCCGCAAAGACAAUGUUGUAUCCCUAUUAAUGCUUAAUAAAAAAUAUACAAAAUAACAAUAGUAAUGAUCUCUAUAUGAGUAGUACUAGUGAGUAGUGAGUGGUAACUAAGAGUGCAAUAUAGUAUAGGUGGGGGUGUGAUGAGGAAAGAAGCAGUCAAAGAUUUUGUGUUGUAAUGAUUAAAGUGUUUGGUAUGUCUUUACUCAUAUGAAAAUGAUUUUUUAAGGAAAGGACGAUAAACAAGGAACAAAGGAAACAGUAAAGAAAAAGUGAGUUUGGAUGGCAGAAAAAAGAGAUAAAGGGCAAAAAUUGUAAAAAAAUUUAAAAAAAAAAGGAAAAGAAAUCAUCAGAAGGUGUGUGCCAGGUAGAUUUGUUCAGAUGCUAAGUGGACCCCUCUUGGAGUCAGGAACCGAUGCAUGAUAAAAGGGUUCUUUUCCUCUUGGGCUAAUUUUAAAGGCAAUACAAUUAACUCCCGGGCCCACUCCAUGGCCCACUAACUCUGUUCUUCUACAUCAUUCAUCUCCAAUUCUUUCUUUCUUUUUUCAUGAUGAAGAAGCUACUCUUGAUAUAUAGUUUCACAUGAAAAUGCUUGUAGUAUUCUUCUGAAGUGAAAAUGACAUAUUCAAGGUAGCAAUUACUAAUACAAUAUAG